rfam:Faecalibacterium prausnitzii L2/6 draft genome.
GCUACUGUGGCUCAGCCGGUAGAGCAGCUCACUCGUAAUGAGCAGGUCGUCCGUUCGAAUCGGAUCAGUAGCU